rnacentral:lncRNA from 1 species
UGGAAGGGGCUGCAGGCUCUGCAGGAUGGAGGCCACGGCCAUCUUCUUUUCCAGGGUGGUAUCGCUGAGGUACUCGUGGUCCAGGAGGCUGAGCAGCCCGCUCGAAGCUCAGCACAGGUCUCAGGCUGGAGCCCCUGGCCAUCCAGGACACAGGCAGGAAAGAGAGCCUUCCUGUCCCAUCAGUUCAUGUGCUUCAAUCUCUGGAACCUUCUGUUUCCG